UGCCGUCAACAUCACCAUUAACUGAAGUGGAGGUUAAAGACAGAGGCUCACAGGGUCUCGGUUUCACUUUGUGAAUGUUGUUCGAAGGCAUUCUGGGAUUGGGUGAGAUUCCUAUUUACUGUAACGAUUCUACUGUCCAUGAUAAUUGGGAUCUCAAUAAAAUGGNGUAAUGAAUAAAAUGGUAACAGGGUGAUGAUACUUUGCUGGAUUAUUUGUCAAGGAUGUGGUUGUGUUUUUUACCCAACUGGGCUUCUGUUCUUUUGCACUUUUCUGGGUUUCUGGUCUUUUUUGGUUAUAGGAUCGUGAAGGGAUAGACGCUGGUGGGUUUCGGCUGGUAUUGAACAUAUUGUGUGUAUGUUGACUUGGGUACACAACGAUUUCCUUUGCUUUUUUUUUCUCUUCUUUUUUUUUGCUUAAGGCUGUGUGUGAUUUCUGGGAUUGAUGAUAGCGGCGCUAAGGAAAAGGUUCAUGAUAGAGAUUCAAAAUGGGGAAGGUAGUGAUUCGGAUAAGGUUAUGCUUGGAUUGGAAUAGUAGUUUCGACGAAGAGUGAAUGGUAGCAGGAUCACUCAUGCUCUCUGUAUACCCUUCCUAAGUUUAUUUCCUGGCAAUUGUUGAUGGGUUUGGUUCGAAAGGAAAAGAAAAUAGGAGAAGCAAUGAUGAAGGUGAAAACAAAAUGAUCCACUUCGGUCAUAGAAGACAGUGGGUGAAGAGGAAGAANAGUUUAUCCAGUAACAAAUAUGAAUAGAAACAUCGUGACUUCAACCAUACCAUAUGCAAUUCAUCUCCUAUGCAAAUGAGCUGUGAUUACCAAAAUAAGCUUACCUCCGAUAUCAGUGUACUAUGGCCUGGAUGAUGCUCUGCUUUUCCGAUGAUGCUCUCUGUAGAUAGUCUUCCUCCUUUUGUCAAAACCCUUCUUCUCGAUCACUUCUCUGUUUUUCUCCAAAAACUUUUUCGAAUCUUUUUUCUAACCGUUUCUGCUCAUUCCCCCUUGGCCAAAAUUCCUUUGUCCCCCCAUUAUCCACCUCACCUCAUUCACGUUUUGUUUUUUUUUAUUUUCUUUUUCUGUUUUUUUUUUCA
rnacentral:lncRNA from 1 species